rnacentral:rRNA from 1 species
CUACGGGGUGCUGCAGGCGCGAAACCUCCGCAAUGUGAGAAAUCGCGACGGGGGGAUCCCAAGUGCCAUUCUUAACGGGAUGGCUUUUCAUUAGUGUAAAGAGCUUUUGGAAUAAGAGCUGGGCAAGACCGGUGCCAGCCGCCGCGGUAACACCGGCAGCUCUAGUGGUAGCAGUUUUUAUUGGGCCUAAAGCGUCCGUAGCCGGUUUAAUAAGUCUCUGGUGAAAUCCUGCAGCUUAACUGUGGGAAUUGCUGGAGAUACUAUUAGACUUGAGAUCGGGAGAGGUUAGAGGUACUCCCAGGGUAGAGGUGAAAUUCUGUAAUCCUGGGAGGACCGCCUGUUGCGAAGGCGUCUGACUGGAACGAUUCUGACGGUGAGGGACGAAAGCUAGGGGCGCGAACCGGAUUAGAUACCCGAGUAGUC